GUCCACGCCGUAAACGAUGAGUGCUAGACGUCGGGCUUUAAAGCUCGGUGUCGCAGCUAACGCAUUAAGCACUCCGCCUGGGGAGUACGGUCGCAAGAUUAAACUCAAAGGAAUUGACGGGGCCCGCACAAGCGGUGGAGCAUGUGGUUUAAUUCGACGCAACGCGCAGAACCUUACCAACUUUUGACAUGGGAAUUUCGGAGACCAGAGAUGGUUUCUUUCAGUUCGGCUGGAUUCCACACAGGUGCUGCAUGGCUGUCGU
rnacentral:rRNA from 1 species